rnacentral:rRNA from 1 species
AAUCAACGCUGGCGGCGUGCCUAACACAUGCAAGUCGAACGCGAAAGCCCCGCAAGGGGUAAGUAGAGUGGCAAACGGGUGAGUAACACGUGGGUGACCUGCCUUCGAGUGGGGGAUAACGUCCCGAAAGGGACGCUAAUACCGCAUGACAUCCUGCUUUUGAAAAAGCGGAGAUCAAAGCUGGGGAUCGCAAGACCUAGCGCUUGAAGAGGGGCCCGCGCCUGAUUAGCUAGUUGGUGAGGUAACGGCUCACCAAGGCGACGAUCAGUAUCCGGCCUGAGAGGGCGGACGGACACACUGGGACUGAGACACGGCCCAGACUCCUACGGGAGGCAGCAGUGGGGAAUUGUUCGCGAUGGGCGCAAGCCUGACGACGCAACGCCGCGUGGAGGACGAAGAUCUUCGGGUCGUAAACUCCUGUCGAGCGGGACGAACGCUUCGCGGAUGAAUAAUCCGCGGAAUUGACGGUACCGCUAAAGGAAGCCCCGGCUAACUCCGUG